GAGAGAGAGACAUGCGCGCAUAUCAAUAAGCGGAGGAAAAGAAACUAACAAGGAUUCCCUUAGUAACGGCGAGUGAAGCGGGAAGAGCUCAAAUUUGAAAUCUUCAAGGUUUUACCUUGACGAAUUGUAGUUUAAAGAAGUGUUUUCUGCUGAAGUUUUGGUAAAAGUUCUUUGGAAUAGGACAUCAUAGAGGGUGAGAAUCCCGUAUUUGACCAUUAUUUUCAGCUUUGUGAUACACUUUCAAAGAGUCGGAUUGUUUGGGAAUGCAGUCCAAAAUGGGUGGUAAAUUUCAUCUAAAGCUAAAUAUUGGCGAGAGACCGAUAGCGAACAAGUACCGUGAGGGAAAGAUGAAAAGAACUUUGAAAAGAGAGUUAAACAGUACGUGAAAUUGUCAAAAGGGAAGCGUUUGACACCAGUGUUGUUUUCUCGGAAAAUCAAUUAAAAAUGGCUCGAUUUUGUAUUGCUUGAGACCUUAAAAGCUCACUGUACAUUUUUCGUGUCCUUUUUUAAUGCACUUUUCGUUUAACAAGUCAACAUCAGUUUCUUUUGUUGUAAAAGGGUCAUUGGAAGGUGGCUUUCUUUUCGGAGAAAGUGUUUAUAGCCUUUGGCCUCUGCAAUCGAAGAGACUGAGGUCUGCAGCGUAGACUCUUCGGGGUUAGAUACAUUUGUGCUAAGUUAUAGCUUUUUAUAGACAACUUGUUGACUAUAAUUAGUCUUGUAGCUUACUCGCUUAUGCUAUUUUACCUACGCUUAGGAUGUUGAGUCGUAGAGCACGCAG
rnacentral:rRNA from 1 species